UUAUAUAUACCGAUUUUAUACAAUCAUACUUUUCUAGUAUCAGUGACUUGAAAAACGACUAACCAAAGACAAAUUACGACAACCCAAAUGUUAAAUCUAUAUGACUGUAUAUAAGCACACAUGUUCUCUAAAUGACAAUCAGUAAAAGCUAUUGUCUAUAGUUAUUCCGAUCCCUUCUUAACCUCGCAUUAUAUCUAAAGACGACAAAACAACAAACAUCAUAAUAUAGCAUAGUGGUAUAUAUAUUUAUUAUCUAGACUAAUAAAAAACAAGCUAUACUACUUCCAUUAUAUAAUUGCUAAAACUACAUGACAACAUAUAAAAAAAAUGUAACAAUAUAAUCAAUAAAUGUAUCUAUGUUUUGGCUUUCUCGGGGGCUACUCACUUUAUAAAAAAUCUACCUAAUCUAAACAAUAAUUUGAAACAUUAUUCUAAAAAUAAACUAUUAACUAUAGGAUGCGGUGGAUACCUGCAACAUUGUUUCGGCUGCGGUGGAUACCAGCAGCGGGUUUUUCGGCUGCGUGGAUACCAGCAGCGGGGUUUCGGCUGCGGUGGAUACCAGCAGCGGGGUAUCGGCUGCGGUGGAUACCAGCAGCACGAUAUGCAAAAUAAUCCCAUGCUUACUUAUACAAUAAUAAUUGGAACUGAUAAUUAAGAAUAUAU
rnacentral:lncRNA from 1 species